CAAAGUGCUGGGAUUACAGGUGUGAGCCACAGUGCCCUGCCGGGAGUGGUGAAUUUAUAUUUGAGAAAAGAUCACUCUGGGUGCUGAAGGAUGUGUUGGAGAUGGAAGCCAGAUGCAGAGGGCUGAAUGCUAGCAGGCUCCAUUUAUAUGGCUUUCUGGAAGGGGCAGAACUAGGACAGAAAGGAGGUUUCAGUUUGGGUAGGAGGGAGCAUGGCUGAUAGUAGGGGGCACAGGGACUUGUUGGGGGUGAUGAGGCCAUUCUGUGUCUUGGUGGUGGGGCUGGAUGCAUAACUGUGUGCAUGCUGGGGCCAACUAUCCGUCAGCUAGUCCAGGACUAGCGGAGGACAAGCAUGCUGUCGGACUCAUCUCCAACUCCCAGGCCCUGUUAAUUACCUCUCUAGACUUAGACUGUCAGAAAAUCUCUCUGGGAUGAUGGUCUCUUGUCUAUUCACUUACUUAAUUAGCAAUGACUGGGCGCCUACUAUGUGUCAAGCUGCAUGGUGGGCACUGGAGACUCUCAGAUAACCACUCCUGCCCUUGAGGAACAUCCAGGCAGGCUGAGACAUGGCCUCGAUCCAUUUGACACUUCCACCAAGGCCUCCACAGGUGCCCACCUCUCCAGGUCUCCCCUCUUUUUUUUUCCAGACAGGGUCUCACUCUGUCACUCAGGCUGAGUGCAGCGGCACAAUCUCAGUUCACUGCAACCUUGACAUCCCAGGCUCAAGGAACAAGGGAUCCUCCCACCUCAGCCUCCUGAGAAGCUGGGACUACAGGUGCACACCACCAUGCCCGGCUCAUUUUUUUAUUUUUUGUAGGGACAGGGUCUUGCCAUGUUGCCCAGGCUGGUCUCAAACUCCUGGACUCAAGCAAUUCUCCUACCUUGGCCUCCCAAAGUGCUGGGAUUACAGGCAUGAGCCACCACGUCCAGCUCUGGUUCCCUUCUUGAUUCAGCCAGCCAGGCCUUGCCAGACAGAACUCAUAGGUGUAUCAAAAAAUAAUCUUUAUUGUCACUAGUAUAAAACAGAGCAGAUCAACUGGCCUCUCGGUCUGUACAAAGUGUGGGGCGUGAAACCGCCUGGGCUGCCCCCACUUCUCCCAUAAUUCCCUGCCCUAGAGCAGCACCUCCAGAGCUAGGAGAAGGAGAGGGGAAAACUGGAGUGGCGGAACC
rnacentral:lncRNA from 10 species